GGGAUACUCCCUCCGUUCCAUAAUUCUUGUCAAAAUAUUACAUGUAUCUAGACGUUUUUUAGGAAUAGAUACAUCCAUAUUUAGGCAAAUUUGAGACAAGAAUUAUGGAACGGAGGGAGUAGCAU
rnacentral:pre_miRNA from 1 species